rnacentral:tRNA from 1 species
CCCCGCGUAGCUCAACGGCAGAGCGUUCGGCUGUAGAUGUCGUGUUGAGAAGCCGACUGGCUAGAAAUGAUACACGACCAGCUGUUCCCGAAAGGUUCCUGGUUCAAAUCCGGGCGCGGGGA